GAAGAUAAAGGUGAUGUCUGCUCUAUUAGGCUCCAAUGAUCAAAUUUGUGAAAGAAUGGAAUCAUCUGUGUUGCCUUUGGAGUUCAAUAGGAACACUGAUCGGUGCAUAAUUCAAAGUGCAAUGUUGCAAUCUGUCCAAAGCAAUGUUUCUGAAGUUAUGGAUGCUUCUGCUUCUAGGGUGUCUAUACAUGAAUGUUUUAGAAUUGUUGGAGAAAAGAUUGUUAUACAACAAGCUCACGAAAAAAAGAUUGCUCUAUCUAGAAGUCUGAUUAUGAGUACGAGGAAUAUCUAUCCACACUACUGGAAUCAAGAGCUCUUCUCAAAAUUUAUUUUUCACUGUUAAUCUUAUUGAACACUGUCUGGUUCAGUUAUGGCCAUAUCUCUCAUGUCUCAGAUCUGUGGACUUUAACUUUACUUUUCUAAAAACUUCCAAUUUUUUCGCAGUAUGAUGUGCCCUUGGAGGAAAGCCAAGAUUGCAGCUGGGCACCCUUGGACAAACUAUGGUGUGCACUAUCCACCAGCCAAGUAUUGAUAUAUUUGAUGCUUUUGAUGAGCUAUUUCUUUUGAAACGAGGAGGAGAGGAAAUAUAUGCAGGCCCAUUAGAACACCAUUCUGCACAUCUGAUUAAGUACUUUGAGGGAAUUGAUGGAGUCAGUAAGAUAAAAUAUGGUUACAAUCAGGCAACUUAGAUGUUGGAAGUGACUUCAGCAGCACAAGAAACAGCUCUAGGCAUUAACUUCACCGAUGUGUACAAGAACUCUGAACUAUAUAGGUAGGAGUGUAGGACCACAUCAAUGUUUGAGAAACAGGCUAAGGUGGAUGCCAUACUUCUAAAUUUCUGUAUUAUUCCUUGAACUUACUUCCAGAAAUAAUCUGGAUUUGAAUAGCUUAUA